AAGCGGUUUUAUCCAAGGUUUUGCUCUUUCCUCAUUGGAAAAUUGGGAAAUUUGACUAUCUAACCAACAGCUCUCACAGCUCUCCAAGUUUUCAUUGACUGUUUUCUCUCUAAAUUUUGUCUCAAAUUUGUCUCUCAUUUGUCUCAAAUUUUUCAAGUUUAAACACCAAAAAUAGUAUUACACAGAACUGUUAUUCCUGCAAAUAUAAUUUGUUUGUGAUCAUAGUGAUUUCAUAUGUUUUUAUCUGCCAUUAGAAUGUUCAGAAUUAAGAAUCAAACGUUGGAAAGUGUUACAGAUUUACAGGAGCAUGUAGGGAUUCAGUUACAGAGAUCACACUGCUCCCCUCCACACCCCCCCCCAAAAAAAAUCAUGGUUGUAAAUAAUGAACACAGCAAGGUUUUAAAAUAAAUUCUUUGAACUUACCUACUAGGAGAUUUAUGGGACAAAAUGUGAAAUUGUAAAAAUGUCAGCAGUCACAGUGUACUUUUUCCAAAUACAGCUCCACAUACAUACCAUCUAUCAUAAACACUAUCAAUACCUGCUCUUCAGUCCAAUCAGUUUGCAGGCCUGCCAGUUAAAUUUAUACAUUUUGUGACUCUGCUGUUUUGAGGAGGACAUAAAUCAGAGAGAAGUAAAAGCUUAAAAGAUGCAUGGAGUAUCAGAGUGUCCUCACACAAUUGCAGAAUUGUUUUAAUGGUGAUUGCUUGCUAACAGCAAAAUGCAGGGUUAAAAUCUCACAUGCUGAAAACAAGUUUCUGUUUCUGCUUACCAGUCUUGUAUUAGAGCUGCACAGUGGUGAUGGAGCCAGCAUUAGAAUUUUACUCUCUUGGCUUGAAAAUGCCGUUGCAGAGCUUAUCACUGAACAAGAGCUUUAGCUUCUCCACUCGGAACGAGAAAGCAUCCUGAUAGAUACAUCCUGGGCCUAACUUGUUGCAGCAGGUUGUCUUUCCAUGCAGAAACCCACUACAAAAAAACUCAUUUUAAGAAUGCCAAUUAAAGAACAAAACAAAAAACAAAACAAAAAAAAACACUGUACACAUGCACAGAUCUAGCAAAGGCCCUGAUUUAGUUCUUCUACCUAGGGAACUCUUGCUCUUAAAGUCCUUAUGUUCAAUCUCCAUAUCUUCCUGAUUGAACUACUGGAGUCUAGCUUACAAUAUUUCACAUUGAAUACAAAAUGUUCUUAUUGUUUGUUCAUAGCAGUACUUCAAUGACAGUUUUUAUUAAUAUUCUUAUUUCUCUGGCAAUUUCUUUAUUUGUGAAGAGAUAAGGGGUGAGACAAACCUUUUGGAAGGUUUUCUCUCAUGGCUUAGAGAAUUUGCAGUUUUGUAUAGGCUAUAGUAUGGUAAGUACAGCAAAAUCUCUUUCUGCUAGAAAUUCUUUUCUUAGUGACCUAGAAAACUUUGGAUGUUCUACUUUUCCAAUCUUAAGAAAACCUUAAGAAAAUAUAUUAAUGUACCCUGAAAUGUCCAGAAAAUGUGAAAUGGUGGCUGGGAAUCGUUCCCCAGCUGGGGACGUGCUAUUGCAAUGGUCAGUGGUGUCUGCCCCUCAUCCUCCUGACCAGUUUGUUUUGUUUCCAUGGAGUGAGAAAGCCCCAAGACAAGAAAUCUGAACAAAGACUUUUCUGGGGAGGGAAAAGGGUGAGCGUGGUAUGUAUUCCAGAUUCCUGCUGUCUCUUGUCUAUUGCUUGCUUUGAAAACCCUUUCAUUUCUGAAUUUUCCACACGAAUGCUUCUGCUGUUUGACAUGCUUGAAGGAAAGUAGAUCAUGAGCAAGCAAGACAACCUGGUCUGAAUCCAGAUUUAGAACUGAAUUCAAUGAAUUGGCUCAUUAAGUUGAUUGCUUUGGUAUCUUCCAUUCAAUCUGCCCACUCACUCAAAAUGAUCUCUACAGAAAAUCAGCAUCUCUGACCACCAGACAGUGAAUCCUGACAGUGUCUCACCUACUCUUGACCACCGUGACCGUCCAAAACAUACUUAUUAUUAUUCUGUUGAUGAUAACAUGCUUUUGAACUGUCUUGACAUUCAUUAAGUUUAGGAUUGUGCUUUUCAGUUUAUGACUCUCAGAUGUGGCAGCCAUCUUCUUCAUAUGACCUGAGGAAUAUUUCUCAGGUAGGAGGCUGCUGCUUCUCACUGUAUUGCCACCAUGGAUUGAAAGCACUCUGCUGUUAAAGGCAAAAAAUAACUCUCCAGAAAGCAUAAUGUUGGAGAAAUAUCCAAGCACAACAGUGGGAAUUUCCUAUUUUUAUGAUCAUCUUUGGUUCUUGGAUCCAUAUUAUUUUAAUUUCAUUGAACUACUGACCAACUCUGAUUUAGUAUAUUUAACCAUACCUGAGAAUGGAGUCUGCCACCAGAUAUUCUUUAUUCCCUCUGAAUGAAACUGAUAGAAUCAAGCAGAAGGUUGUUCUCUUUUGCCUUCCUUUCCUCCUUCUUCAUUAUCUUGCAGGCCUGUAUUGUAAGAACAAUGCCCAGUGACCAGAACUAGAGACUCUUCAAUAUAAUGUAAGCAGCCUCAUCCUGUCCUUCUAAAACUUCCCAUUACCCUUAUUCUAUUCUGAGGGUGUCCUUGGCCAAGAAUAUUCUAGGCUUAGUAUAUGGAUAACACUUGGACCUUCAGUAUCUAAAAGCUUUGAGUAUUUAAGGAAAAGUCCUUUUAUCUUGAAGGUUUAACAGACUAAAUAAACUCUAAGCUGCUUAAUGGGCAGACAAGGGGAUGUGGUGGAUUACUCGAUUACACAGAACUGUGUAUUAUUUGGAGAGGGCAGCUUUAGGACAGCAGUGAGUAACGCAAGCACAUUCAGUAAUUGAUGUUGAAACCAGAUAUGAUAAAGAUGAUCUCCAGGGCAUUCUUCCUGAUCCUUUUUAUUACUUUGUUGUUCAAAUUGUUUACUGAUAUUAUUUAUUGUCUCAAAUGUCAUAUUCUCAUCUCUUGAAGAGAAUGGCUGCCCAGUCUUUCAUCUUCUUCUGGUUGCAUUUCUUUAUUUCAUUACAUGUUGUUUUUGUUAAGUAUUUGAUCAUAUUUUCCAAUUUUUUUUAAGCUUCCUUUAAUAUCUCUCUAAAAGAAAUUUUUUAGUUCAGCCAAGAAGUUAUGAACCUAAGGCAAAAACUGUUGAAUGAACUUCUGUCAUUUCUGCAAUGACAGAAAUCAGACAAGUUGUUAACAAUUGUGAUGGAUAUUGAGUGGGCCAUACUAAAGUACAAGUAAACUGGUGACCUUAUUAUAGGAUAGUCACUUGUAUGAGUAUACUGAUCUAGUCUAAAAAGAGUCUAUAAGGAAACAGUGACUCAAGAUAAGUCAUUCCACAGCAAUAAGGAUAAUAGAAGACCAACUGGCUCUGAGAGUGCUGGCAUGGUUUCCUGCUGAGACUGUUGGACUGGUUUUGUCUAGAAGGGCAAAAGCCCAAGAACUGACAAAAACAAAAGGACUCCCUCGUUCCAGAGAGGAGCUGGUUGCUGGAGCAGGAAGUCAUACUGAUUUCAAGACCCGCAGGGGCCCAUAUGUAGAAAAAAAGGACUGUUACAAGCAGAUGAUGAGGUAAACAUAAACAUAGUGAGAACUAGGUUAAUGUUAGAUAUAAAUGCGCAUGCCCUUUUUGAUGUUUUUAAAGCAUCUUGCUGGGUUUGUUUUUAUUCUGCCAUAGCUAAGGGUGCUUCUUGCAGAUUAUUGAUCUAAAUUGCUGUGACCUCUAAGCAGAUUCUGUUUUAAUAUCUUUUGCUAUCCCUUUAGAAAACCUUGUCUGUAAUGAAACCACUGGUGUUACUAACUGCAGUAUACCAAGAAACGGAAGGAGUUUCUGGAACAAUGCUGGGAUGUAACUCCCAUUGUAACUUCUGGUCACACUAGCUGUAUGAUUCAUUUCCUCUCCUGUUACUGAAGGUGUUUCCCAGGAAAUUUGUCACCUCAGUGGCACAAUUGCUCAGCUAUGAAUCUUAAAGUUGCCCAACAUACAUUAUUUGUAAACUCAAGUUUCUCAAGUAUUAGGGAACCUAACUCAAAAGUUAACUUGACCAUGUGUUUCUGAGCUGUCCAUUGAGCAUGAUUGCAUCAGUACUUAGUGACAUAAGAUUUCACUUUGAAAAACUACUAGGAGGAAGCAUUUUUGCCUUUGCAGCCUUGGAAGCACUCACCUCAAACUCCUAUGAAAGUCCACCAAAAAUACAACUACUAUGAAAGAUUUUGAAGUUGAAUUAUUUUACUUGAUUACACCUUUUACAUGAUAAUUCCUCUGACAAUUUUCUUUAGUUACUACUGAAAACCUGUUCAGAUAACACAAGUCUUUAAUUAGCUUUUACUGUUAGUUACUUGUAGUAUAAAGACAUUUUGAGUAUAUGUGCUCCUUGCAUUAAAGCUUGACAAUCAAUAGCUUCCCUUAAUACAGAUAUGUACUCUUUACAAGCUUUGAGGGAGACUUUAUCAUGUUCAUAGUGAUGUCUAAAGAGGUUCUAAAGACAACCUGCUGCAACAAGUCACAGCUUGCAUCUGCACUUCUUCGACAAUUUCAGAUCAGGCUUAAGUGGAGUUGCAGCUUUUGCCCAUUGCAGGGAGAAAUGCCAGUCACUGGUCCCUAACCUACACCAUGCACCUGUUCAUAGUCUUGUCUCAAUGUUCUCAUCUGCAGUCUCUUCUGAAAUGCAAUAUACCCAUUCCAUUAGUAGCAAUGCAGAAGACUGAAAGAACUGUUUGCACCCCAGGCUAGCUGGAGAGGAAAUACCAAGCAUUUCUGCAACAGUAAUCGCUGUGAAAGUAAGCAGGGACUUCAAAAACAGUCGUUCUAUCUGAUGCAAUUCAGAGCAGAGGGCAAGUCAUUCUACUGUCUUCUCUUUUUGUGCUAGGUAUACAGGGAACCUCAGGUCCCUGAACUAUGGGGCAUAGCACAUGCCUGAAAGCUAUUCAGGAAUCUUUUUUUUAAUUACAGAUGUAUUGUGAUAUUCUCUGACUGGGGAUUGUUGAUCUUCUGAAAACUUUGUUGUGUCUUUCUAAUUUGUUAUUAAAACUCUCACUGAGAGCGGUAAGAGUACUUAGGAAAAGAAUGCUGAAGAGUAUGCAUAUGCACUUCCAAAUGUACAGAUAUACUAUAAUUCCUUCUUCUGUACAGAUAUACUAUAAUGUUCUUCUUCUGUUAUUUUGACAGAAGAAAAUGAAGGUAAAAAAUAAAAAUUAAAAAAAAAGAUGUAGCUUUCCAACGUUUGUGUAACUGCAUUGAAAGAUGUCCUUGCUAUUUCCCCAGUCAACAGAUGGAUGUUCUCAGUGAAGUGUCCUCAGCAUGUAAACAGAUACAUGUCCUCUGAAGUAUUCUGCUGCAAUCUGACAGUUUUGAAACAGAAGCACCUACUUUUAGUAGGAUUGUCCAUAGUGCCAAUGUCUAAUUUUACUUUAACUCUUUGGAUGGCAGUAACCAAUGACAAGCAUGUGAGCUGAUUUUUGUGCUAGCUCAAAGAUGGAUUCCUAUUCAUGCUAACGUACCAACACUAAUUGCAGACAACAGUUUUGCAAGUAAGUACGCAUUGAAGAGGACAAGGUAGCUGAGGCAGAUCCACAGAUAAUACUACUGACUUAACACAGUGUGACAGAAAAUUAAUACAUUGUAUAGAGUCUGGUUUUUUUGAAGGUUUUGGGGUGUUGUUUUUGUUUGUUUGUUUCUUUGUUUUUAGACUGGAAUGAAACUUGAGCAGCAGAAAGGCACAUCCUUACUCCAUGACUAGUUGCAAGACAGACUUCUAUGGAACCAAAGUUGUGAACGGGAUAUGAAAAUGGUGAUAAUGUUAUUUACCAAUGCAUGCAUUUUCUGUGAAAAUUCUGUAUGUCCAAUGAUUACCAAAAACUGUUGGAGAUUGGAGGAAGAUAGUUGUGGUAACCCUCCCCACAAAGAUGUCAACUGCGUGGAAGUGGAUCUGCCCCAAGACUAAGAGGAGCUCAUGGACCCAUCUCUGGUGCAACAGUUGCAGUGGGACACCACAAGAACGAAUCCUAGUGUUGCAGUCAGAUAUUUCUGGAAUCACAGGAGAGUGAUCAUAGGAUGAGCAGUUCUAUAUUCAC